rnacentral:rRNA from 1 species
UACGGAGGGUGCGAGCGUUGUCCGGAAUCACUGGGCGUAAAGGGCGCGUAGGCGGCGCGGUAAGCGUGCGGUGAAAGCCCGGGGCUCAACCCCGGGUCGGCCGUGCGGACUGCCGGGCUCGAGCACUGUAGAGGCGGGUGGAAUUCCGGGUGUAGCGGUGGAAUGCGCAGAUAUCAGGAGGAACACCGGUGGCGAAGGCGGGUCUCUGGGCCGUAACUGACGCUGAGGAGCGAAAGCGUGGGGAGCGAACAGG